AUGAACUCAGCAGUCUCUAGGAAUAUCACCUCUUGGGCAGUGCUCCCCGUGCAACCCUCCCCCAGCUGUGUGUCCUCAGGCCAGAGUGCCGUCGGGGUCUUCUGGAAGGAACCUUCUUCUUUUUUUUUUUUUUUUUUUUUUACACUGCCCUGUGGGGUGUCAGUACAGGGCCCUGCUGUGUUACCAAGAGCGUCAUCUCAACUGGGUCGCUGCCUAGUGGGGCCAUCUCUUGGGGGCGUUCAGAUGGCCAGUCUCUCUGCAGCACAAAGACUGGAAGUGUUCCACAUCAAAGUCACGCGCUACAAUCAGCGGCACAGGGACUGCAUGGAGACUGACCAGAGGGACACGUCCUCAAAGAGGUUCGAGACAGCAGGUACCAGGGGUGACGAAGCCCACUGGCACCAGCUGCUCCAGGGAAGGAUCUGGGCAGGCCCGAUUCUCCCGGCUAGAAGAGGGUGAGGCAGGAUUGCAAUUGCAAGCAAGAUCCGGGAACAGAUGGGGAGACCUUUAUGGCAAGCACACCUUCUCUGGAAAUCCCCAAGAGAAGACAUGCAGGGUUGGCCUGUAAAAACACUUAGAUCUGGCAUUACGCUUUCUGUGCCACUUUCGAACAGGUUUUUUCAUGUGCUUUAAGCAGCUCCCUCCACCGUUUCUCGAAGGGUGUUUUUCCUCUUCCUUGUGGUUAAUCCUUUGAAGCAACCUGGCAUUUUCAAUAGCAACAACUAGAGAGAAACGUCAGCAGGAUUUUUUCUCUCUCCACCUACCAAUCCAGUUGUAGGAAAGAUAAUAUAAUUAGCACCCUGUUCUUCCCACACUUAACCAGCCCAUUCCAGUCUCACGCAGAGAUGUGGGCCUGUUUUCCAACAAAAGAAGCUCCAAGGGCGGCCCUUCCAGAGUUGAAGUGUCUAGGUCCCAACUGAGGGUGACUAAGCCCGCGUCUAUUAGUCAGUAAGACUAACGACCAGCCAAAAGUGAUUUACCCGUAACACACACCAGCUCCUCCUCCCGAUACAAGUGUGAAACUCAAGUGCUCACUUCAGUCUGGGCAGAGGCUGUGGCCGCCAACAGUGGCGGGGCGGGCAGGCUCUGCGGCCGCACCCGGCUUUCGCGCGAGGCGGGUAUGCACCCGGCCAGGGACUGCCCUGGCCUGGGCCGCGCCGUGGGACCCGCCCCACUACGGCGCCGGGGACUUCCGCCCACGGCCCGGACCCGCGCGACAGCCGCCUGCGGGACCCGCGAGCCGGCCGGCUGGCCAGCCACCCCCACGGCCGGCGCGGACCCCGGCGCCCGCGCCCCGCGCCACCUCCAGUCCAAGUUUGGGCCCGGGGGCGGGGCCUAGAGGCCCACAGUCGCCGGAGGGGGCGGAGCCUGCGCGGUGACGCGGCCGCGCUGGCCGUAGACCCCGGAUCCCUGGAAUGUGCAUUCGUUCAACGAGGCCGCCAGUGCCAGCGGCGCCGAG
rnacentral:lncRNA from 1 species